rnacentral:rRNA from 1 species
CAGGCUGUCUCCACCCGAGACUCAGUGAAAUUGAACUCGCUGUGAAGAUGCAGUGUACCCGCGGCAAGACGGAAAGACCCCGUGAACCUUUACUAUAGCUUGACACUGAACAUUGAGCCUUGAUGUGUAGGAUAGGUGGGAGGCUUAGAAGUGUGGACGCCAGUCUGCAUGGAGCCGACCUUGAAAUACCACCCUUUAAUGUUUGAUGUUCUAACGUUGACCCGUAAUCCGGGUUGCGGACAGUGUCUGGUGGGUAGUUUGACUGGGGCGGUCUCCUCCUAAAGAGUAACGGA